rnacentral:hammerhead_ribozyme from 1 species
AUCCAGAUUAUGAGUCCCAAAUAGGACGAAAUGCGCACCCUAGAU